AUUGAACGCUGGCGGAAUGCUUUACACAUGCAAGUCGAACGGCAGCACGGGGGCAACCCUGGUGGCGAGUGGCGCACGGGUGAGUAAUACAUCGGAACGUAUCCUAGAGUGGGGGAUAGCCCGGCGAAAGCCGGAUUAAUACCGCAUACGCUCGAAAGAGGAAAGUGGGGGAUCGUAAGACCUCACGCCCAAGGAGCGGCCGAUGCCGGAUUAGCUUGUUGGUGAGGAAAAGCUCACCAAGGCGACGAUCCGUAGCUGGUCUGAGAGGACGACCAGCCACACUGGGACUGAGACACGGCCCAGACUCCUACGGGAGGCAGCAGUGGGGAAUUUUGGACAAUGGGGAACCCUGAUCCAGCCAUUCCGCGUGAGUGAAGAAGGCCU
rnacentral:rRNA from 1 species